UCCUCCAUUUUCAAUGAAUAAGAAUCAUUGGUACAGUGGACUGUUAAUCUUUCUUGCAGGCUUAUUAGAAAGUGGAUACUGGAAUUGAGAGUACAUCCUUUCUUUUAUUUAGAGUACAUGAUGUCUUUCACAAACAAAUUCUUAAGAAUCCACUGUUCAGAGGGUGGGUCAAUAAGAAAAUAUGAGAUGUAUGUUUUGGUGCAAUAAUGCUUAGUUGGGAUAUCAUGUACCUUUACAAGGUGACUACAGAGCAGUUCUGUUAGAAUAGACUGAUUUCUCUUUCCCAAGACCUUGAAUGAUGAGGAAGAUUUUGGUAGAUAGAGUAGGUAGGGAAAAUAUUUUAGGUAUGGAAGAAAGGGCCUGAGUAACAAUUAGUGAUUGUGGGGAGGAGUGAAUGUGUUGUGGCUGUAAGCAAAUUGGAAAUAGUGGAUGAAAGUAUUGGAGGAUGUGUGCUGUCCUCACACAUGGACUGAAAAACUUAAAAAUGGAUGCAGUUAAGGUUGAGAUCACAUAUGCAAACAACUAACAUCAGUAAUGUGGAAUUUUCAGAGUUUGGUCUAGUCCAAAUCACAUUUUACCAUUGUAAGUGACUUGGCAAAGACCACAUAAGUAGUUAGGGACAGAAUAGGACUUUUAAUGAUUCUUUUUCUGUUAUAUUUAUACCGAAUAGCAUAUUGUUUAUUAAAUAUUCACAGAAUUUAUUUGACAAUAUUGCUUAGCCUCUGUGACCCAUUUAAUUGAGAGAGGUGAUACCUUUUCGUGCUAGAUGCUGCUCAUGAGAGGGAGGUAUCAAAUGACCUUAAAUAUGUCUACCAAGUCAUGCAUGAUGUCCUUAGUUACCAGGCUGAAGUGCUCAGUUAAUAACAAGAGCCUAAAACUCAGCGAGUCUGUUGGAGACUGAAUUGGAUGUUAUGAGGAAAUGAACUCUUUAAAAAGAGAAUGAAACAAAAGAGACCUCUCUGUAUGUAGAACAACCAUUGGGACAUUAAGCUGUCCCAGUCUAGGCAUAUUUAAGCUCUUGCACAUUUUGGCACUGUCUCUCCAAAUUGGCUAAAUUUAUGUACCUAUUUGCAGAUCUCAUACUGAAAGUGAAACUUGCCAGUGACAUAAUUGGAUUUUUAUGAAUUAGAAAGUACCUGAACUGGUUUUAAAGACUGGUAAAGCAUUUUUAGUCUACAAAUAAAAGUGAACUUUGUGAUAGUGUUAUGAAAUACAAUUCUUGGCAUGUGGCAAGUGCUCAAAUAUUUGUUGAAUAAAGUUAUCUGGAUUGAAAAAGAUUUGUGGAAAUGGUGUUUCUGAUCCUACCACGGUUUUGGCCCAGUAAUUAAGAAUACUUAGGAUACAGGCAGGAUGAUAACCUAUUUUUGUUGUUGUUGUUAUUGUUUAUUUAUUUUGAGAGAGUGCGCACAUGCAUGAGCCAGGGAAGGGCAAGGAGAGAGGGAGAGAGAGAAUCCCAAGCAGGCUAUGCACUGUCAGUGCAGAGGCCAACACAGGGCUCUAACACAUAAACUGAGAGAUCAUGACCUGAGCCGAAAUCAAGAGAUGGACUUGGAAAUGACUGAGCCAUGCAGGAGCUCCAAUACCUGUUUUUAAAAUAGGUCACUUUUGGAAGAAAUUAAAAUUCUACUUAUCCAUUUAUAGCUACAUAUAGUCUUUUAAAAAUUCAUCCUUUUCAAGGUGGUCCAUUGAAAAGUGGUUCUGCCCUUAUAUGUAUAUUAUGUUUUCAUAAACUCAAGAUCAAGGAUCUGCUAAUGAUUUCACAUUUGGGUACAUUUAAAUUGUAUGUUUGUGGAUUCACCUGCCACUAAUAUAUCUCAAAAGUUAUUUGAUCUGAACAGUACGGUAUUUUUCUACCUGUUUCUCUUUCUUCACCUUUAUAAAUGGAAAGUUACAACUUUAUGGACAUUAUUCUUUAGGGCACUUGAAGCAUGAAUAAAAUGGUUUUAAGUCCCCCCCCCCCCCCCCAAGGAUAAGGAAGUGACUCCUUAAACUCCCAAGUAGAAGACUUUUUAUUCAGGCAUUAGCACUUCAGUAUUCUUGAAAUUGAAGUGACUACUUGUCUUUGACCUCUUUGACAAAGAAGACAACUUAUUUUUUUUCAGGGACUUUUAACAAAAGAUGGAGAGAGAGGCAGAUGUGGUUUUUGAAUUUUGAGUCUCAGUCCAUCCACUAGAUGUCUCUUUACUCCUAUCAUCCAUAAAGAAUAUGUUUCAGUUAAAUUUGCUGCUGUCAAAAGCAAGUUGGAUCUGAGUUAUGGAAAUAAUACAUCUCAUGUUCCCAUUUAAAGUAUGCUGUUUUCAGCAACAUAGCCAUGCCUUCAAUAAAAACAAAGAGGCAACUUAGGCUGUGACAGUAAUUCACAGUGGAAUUUAUUUAUUGAGUAUCAGUUCAGAACUUCCUAUAUGCUAAAAAAUGUUGAAGAUAUGGGGAUAUAAUAGCAAAACAGACAGGGUUUUUGCCUCUUGGAACUUUAAAAGAAUGUUCAAGCCACAGCAACAUAUUAAAAUUUCAAUAUGAGAACCAUCAUUUAUGUUCUUGUGUUAAGGAAAGCCAGAAAAAGUAGAGGAUUGGGCAACAUUUUAAGCUUUUUUUCAUGCUUAAAGUUCAGUGUUUAAUACUACUUGCUAGUUAGUGUUCUUCAUGUUUCUUUAAGGUUAGACUUUGUGCAGUUUCUCUCUAGUGAUAUGGGUUAUUGAAAAGAUGUAAAGGUGGAUUGCAGAGUCAGCAAAGAAAUGUUCCUUUACUAUUAAGGUACAUGGACAUAAUUGCCUUUAAUUCAUCAUGCAGAUUUUAGAUGCCCAUCAACUAAAUGUCCUACACUUUCCUAUUAAUAUACAGUGUAAAUGAAAAUUCUUAUCUGGAAAAAAAAGCUCAAAAACAACCUUUUGCAACAUGUGAUCUAGAACUCCACCAGUGGUGUGUUUUACAUGUAUCAAACUGAACCUUAGGUAAUAUAGUAGCAUAGAUUGGCUUAGCUGCUUGCUCUUACUAUUUUAGCAUAGAACUAACCAUAGGCAACCUGAUCCUGAAAUACUUGAACUUGAGCAUGGGAGAGGAUUGUGAUUUUGCUUUUGUAUUCCAAAAUACAUUAACUAAGGAUAUUCCUUCCUCUGUUCUACAUUCUAAUAACAUAUUGGUUAUUUCCUAUAGAAAAUCUCAAUGACUUUUUUUUUUUUCCCUAACUAAUGAACAUCUUAACAUUUACAACAAGAACUGAGGAUUUAUGGUACUCUGUGACCCAGUAAUUGUGUACUCAGGGUUUCCUGUGUUCUUGGCUAGAUCAUGGCUCAAUCCCAAGACACUUUUCCUGCUUAAGCCCAUUUUGGUGUCAAAAAUGAGCAACAUAACAAUAGCAGAAGGAAGUGAUUAAAGUUUAAGUAAGUGGAUGCAGGACAUUUUAGCCUAAGUAGUAAAGAAAUAAACUGAAGUUCUACUUUGUCAAACAAGCAGGCAUUUUUCUUUUCUCUCUGUGCUAAUAUGUUCUCCUAGAGCCUCCUCAUAAACCUCAAAAUGGACUCAGCACAAGCCUAAAGCUAACUCUGAAAGAAUCUCCCCCCACCCUGCCCCAAGGCUUUUGUAAGUUUGGGGGAUGGUGCUUCAGAUUGAGAUCAAAGCUGCCUUAGGUUAAAUAUAAAUGUUUUGAAAAAGGGAAUAAAUGUCCAUGUAUUGUUUGACAGUGCAUAAGUAUUUUAAGUCGCCUUGAGUUACUUUGGAGUGCAGGAGCUUUCAGAUUACACCUGGCAGGGGACCCCUGGCCCUAAGACAGAGCUGUGGUAAUACAUGUGUCAUGUUUCUCCUUGUCUCAAAAGGAAUGAAAACAAAGCGGUCUUUUAUAGGGAGGGGCAUUGCUGACAUUUGUCACCCCUGCUGCCUCUGAACGUGUGUCUUACGUGUCCACUCUGAGCUGAACGUCUUUUCUCCCAGAUAGGGCUGAUCACCAGGAUGUGGAAGAACACUCAGUAAGGAAUACUUUUUAAGAAUGGUUUCCUUUUGGUAAUCUCAAUGUUGACUGAUGAACUCUUGCUUUCCAUUUAGUGCAAAGCAGAACUACUUUAUCAGAUGGGAAUGAAUUCUUGUGUUCACCAAAUCCUAGUUAAGUUUACCCUAAAAUUACUAAGUGCACAGAGAGAUUCCAGUGUCAUUUCUUUAGGUCUCGUGAACAACAGCUUUUUGUACUGGUUGCUCUUUGGUUUUCACGCGCCAGCCAGUUUACAAACAACUUGCAGUGUGUUAGCAUUUCAUGAUGAGAGGAAGUGGAAAGUGUUCCUAUGACACAAAAGCCCUUUACUUGAGGGAUACUUUGGGGUUAAGAACAGUUUUCCACUCCAAAUGGUUCCAUUAUGUUCUCUGUAAUGGGUGUGAUUGUUUAAUGAUGACAUAUUUGAACUGAGAUGAUUGAACAGACAUUACUUGAGCAAAUAAAAACUUGACAGGCUAUGCCUUUUUAAGCAAUUUUGUAGGCCUAGGGCAGGAUAAGAUGGAAAAGGCUGAUUACCACCGCCGUUCAUAAAAAGAGCAAAAUCUGAAAGAUGCAGAUUUGAAAGUAUACGGUUCAUGUAGCAGAAGGCUAACCCUGUGCCUGGCUGAUUUCUUUUGCAAGUUCCCUUUGUAGGUGCAACUUUGCUGAAUGUGUUCCUAUUGAAAUCUUGUUAUUUUAACAAGGAAUGUUAACAAGGCUGAGGAAUGAUGGUCUACCUUCAGUUUUGUAAGUGGGAAGAUCUUUUUGUUGUAGAAGAGCUUCCUAAUCUGCCACUUGACCUGGCCUGAUCUUAGUUUUGCUUGGACCUGUUGUGCCCUCAUUGAUGAAGUUGAAAUAUUGUUCUUGCUGCUAUUGGUAAUCAAAUUAAGUCCAGAAAAUAUUUUUGAGCACUCACCGCAUAAGAGACACUGCUAGACCUUGAUGUAUUUAUAGUCUAGCUUGGAGAAAGCUCUGAACGUAAGUAACCAAAAUGCAGGACAGUGUGUUUCGAGUUGUCGUGGAGGUGAGAAAGUAGAAAUUAGAUCAGACUAAGAAAAUAUAAAUCUGCCCUGCCCUUCCUUCAUCAGAAACAGUUAAAGCCAGCUGCAGUUAACAGGAAAAAAAUAUUUUACCCAAGGACAUUCUGCAGCUGUAACGUGUCAGAACAACUCCUUUGCAGUGACUACUGCUUUCUUAACUCAGAGGAACUUUGUUCUCUAAAAUCAGACCAUCAGAAAUUUUGCUAUUUGACAUAAUUUACUUUGACCCACAGAAGUUGCCUCAAUUUCCAUGAGGUGCAGAGCUUCAGACAAGGGGUUUUGGGAGACAGCAUUCCACAUCUAAACUUUAGUUUCCAAGGGUAUAGGACCCUGGGUCCACUUUGCAGUCCAGACCUGAUAUUCAGCCCUCUACACACAGCCCUGCUUUGCUCUGAACCUAUUGCCAUGCUAAUUUAUUUGAAUUUCACCAUACCCCAAAUCUUGUAAGUUCCACCUUUUCUCCAGACUAUUGAUUUUCUCCUGAGGUCUUAGGCUGAUUGAGCUAAGCUAGGACAGAAGCACAUUCAAAGUGUAAAGCACAAUAGAACCCAGAAAUUUACAUACUUUUUUUUUUUUUUUUUUAAUCUUAGCAUGGGAGAGGGGUAGAGAGAAUCUCAAGCAGGUUCCACGCUUGCCUGGGAGCCUGACAUGGGACUCAGUCCCACAACUGUGAGAUCAUGACCUGAACCAAAGUCAAGAGUAGGAUGCUAAACUGAGCCAUUCAGGUGCCCCCAGAACCUGAUUUUAACUGAGUGUUCAGGAACACUUAGAAGGCAGUUGCAUUAAUGAUUUAUUAGGUGUCACUAACAGUUUAUUUGAUAUUACAGAUAACGGGGGGGCCACGUCAACUUCUUUCUGACAUUUCCGUUAAUUUUUUUUUUUCAUUUUGGCAACUCAAUCUAACAUUAAAUACAUGUAUGUGUGUGUGUAAUAUAUUUACAUAAUAUAUACAUACAUUCCUGUGACCUUUUCACAUUUAUGGUUUUGUAUGUAGAUUCUUCCACAAAAGUAGUAUCUCUUGUUGGCAGGUGGAGUCUGGCAGCUUAAAAUUUCUUCCGUGUUUUUUUAAUGUCUUGGCUGUUGUGCGUCCAGUAGAUGUUCAAUAAAUACUUUCCACAGUGAAUCAAGGUAGCUUUGUGUCUUCGCUCUUUCUUUGAUACUUUCCCUAAGUUUGAAACCAGCAUAAUGUGGUAUCUUCCUCAUCACAAUUCCACCUCUGCCUUAUAAAGUACAAAUUACCCUCAGGCAAUGAGGCGCUGAGCAAUUGAAGGUUUUUAUAGCUCCAUUUGUCUGCAGUCCCCAAAUGCCAAUGGAUAGAUGUGUUUGUCAGAGUGCGUGGUAAGUGCAAGUAAGCCCCCCAUUAGCAGCAUCAUUAGAGAUGAAAUAGAUACACGGGAACUCAAAGAGGUGAUACAUCGUCAGACACUGCUCUGAGGAAGUACAGACUAUCAUUUGCAGAAGGAAAUGCACAAUUCCUCACCUCAACUUGAUUUCUUUUUCAAUCCUUUGUGUAUUUACCUGUGUUCAUCCACCACUUCAGUUGAAGCAGAAUGAAAUAAACCAUUAAUUAAAAAUAGCUCAGGAAAACAGUGAAGACAUUAAUAGAUCUAAAUAUACCAGCCUCGAGAGAGCAAUCUCAAUUUACCAAAGUGCCUUCACCGUGGGCCUUGCCCUUCAUGUAGAGGAUGGAUGGAGAAAGUGGUGUCUCCCAGUGGCUGAAAAGGGGCCCGUGUUUUUGAUCAACCUAUUCCUGUACUCGCAGCAUUUUUGCCCAUCUUUCUGCUGUGUCCUGGGGUGUAGAGACCCUGUCCUCAGGCGGUCUCUUGUGGGUGACAGAUAAUGUUGCAUUUUCAGGCUUCAUAUCCAGUCAAAUCCAGCAGCAGAAGAGACCUGUCUUCCUGGGUGGUCAUUUUUAAGAGAAAGGAAAGUUUUCUGCAAGCCUUUCAGAAGAGCUCUCCUUAGGUCUCUGUCAUCAGAAUUCCAACGUGUGUCCAUCCUAAGUAGAAUGGAUUUCAAUGACUGGCUUAGUGGGGGACAGAGUGGAGGAGUGUGACUUACUGAAACAACAAAUCCAGAUCUUUGGAAGGAGGCUGUGUGUGUCUGUGCUGGAUUGUUGGAUACACAACCAACCAUGUCUGCUACAGUCAGAGCAGAGCAGGGAUUCAAACCCAGUCUGUCUCAUCCCAAAGGCUGCAUUUGUGUGUUAGUCCCCAAACACACGUGCACGAGGGUUUCCUGUUUGUGGCUAUUAGGAAAAACAUGACUGGAACAAAUCUCAGUUUUUGAGAGAUUUGUGCUUAUAAUUAUAUUUGGGUUACAUAAAUAUUAAAAUGUGUUCACUUGCUCUGAACAUUAGCCAAGUAGUGUGUGGAACUGCUGUGGUCUGGAGUGUGGCCUCCUCCUAGCAACAGGACAACAGCCUUUAAAACAAUUCCUCUGACUGGUGUUAGUCUUACAGUGUCCCUCUUACUUUCUCCUUACCAAGAAGUGGUGGCCACAGAGUCUGGGAAGAAAGAUUAUGGAGGCCCUUGAAUUUCAGGCUAAGGGAUGUACACUUUGUUUUUUUUUUUUUUUCCCUUCCAAGGAAUAUAGAUAGAAUCAUGGAAGACUUCAGCCAGGAGAAGACAUGACCCUGACUGUGAUUUAGGAAGAUUAAUCUGUCAGAGUGAAUAAGAAGAAUUGAGAGAAAUAGCAUAGGUCUUUACAUUUGCAGGAGGUCUGACCCUCAAUCCACCAAGUCUGGUGUGCUGGAAAUGCCCAUUCGUUUAUUUUCUUCAGGUUGAAUUUCCAGUUUUGUUCUGCUGGGUUGAUAGGAAAUUCAGUAUGAGCUAUUUCCUGCCUUCUCAAGGAUGCGCCAGAAUCUGGGAAGAUUACUAUGUACCUGAAUCCUAUCUGCAGCACAACAGGGGCUCCCAGAAGAUUGGAUGAACUUCACUCCAAAAACACCUGCGUUCUGGAAUCAGAGAUAAGAUAUGUGAGGCAAGUUUUCUGGGAGGGAAAAGGAGUGAUUUAAAUUCUCACUGAUGUCUAAGCUGCUGAUAGAUUCUGUCCCCAAAACAGGUUUCAACUUAGAGGAGGAGGCUGGACAGGGAGAGAGCAGGAGGGCGCUGAGCUGGCCCAUUGACCACAAAGGAAAGAGCAAUGGGUGGCAGGAAAGAAGGCCUGGGGGACUCAAAUGUGCAGUUUAUCUGCUGCUCCCCUAUUUUUGUCAUGGGCGCAUCUGAUUCUGACAUUCAGCACUAAGGGAUCUCCUAAUCAUUGAUUGCACAAACCUAAACAAUCAUUUACUGAAAGCAUUCUGGAACACCAGAAGGUUGCCGUUAUUUAUUUGUUUAAAUAAGAAUGUAAAACAUAAGCAAAUAGAACAAAAAUCCUACCACAAAAAAGAAAGGAUGUUUUAAUGGUAAAAAAUUGGGAAAGAAAAUCUCAGAUAAAGGACAGCAUUUUAAAUGGAUGAAUAUAGAUUUAUAGGAAAAAAAUGUCUAUUUCCUUUUUCUGUGGGCCCAAGAAAAUGCUGGCAGAGCCUGGGCUCUCCCCUACCACCUGGUUUAAGGGAAUCACAUCCACCCGGAUUCUGAACUCCCACCACAGUUUCUAGUUCAUGACCCUGUGCUGCCCCCUGGUGACCAAAAGGAGUUGCUGUAGCGUCUAAAGAGGGUCUCAAAAUAUUGGGCCUCCUAGCAUCUAUGUUUAUUUAACACCCACCAUGUGCUAAGGGUGAGGACACAUAGAAAUGAGGGAUCCCUUGCUAUCAAGGAGCUUUCCUAUAACACUGAUGUGUCAAACAAAAGGUAGCAAACAUGUUUCGGUUUUGGCUUUGAAAUCAACUCCAGCCACCAUUCCCCUGCCUGUCAGAGGCCCAGGCGGGCCACUGACAUCAGCAUCAUGGAAUGCAAGUAGUCUCAGCAUUAGAGCAGGCCUGUGACUUGGGUCCAGGUGCCACCUAGAGCUUUAUCUCCAGCCUUGCCCUGAGCCGGGGCUUGUGGGGACUGAUGAAGCUGGUAGGUGGUGGUGUAGAGCAGACCUGGCCCUACCGAUUCCCCACAGGGUGUUUCUGCUCUCAGCUCUUCCUACUUGCUUGGCCACCCCUCGGUCAGGCAGGCCUGCUUUUGCAUGAAGUCCUUCCAUGCCUACCCUAAAUCCACAAUGACCUCUAUGACCUCAAGACUACUGUCUGUCUACCAUCAUUUUCUCUUACUUUAUUUUUCAAGUAGGUAAGAAAUUCCCUGAUGGUUGAGGCUCUGUUUUAACAGUUUUCUAUCCAUCUCCCCUUCUCAUAUUACCUCCAGAAGCUCUCAGUUUUCUCUCUUAUUAUGCAGAGAAGCUGCCUACUCCUUUCACAUAUUAGGGCUAUGCUUAGGCCUCAUCAAAAUAUUUUCUUAUCAAAAAUGGGAAGUAGUUAAGUCAGUUUAGGCUAAGUUAUUUGGCUGUAACAAACAAGCUGCAAAUCCACAUGGCCUAGAAUGACAAAGGUUUAAUUCUUCCUAAUGCUACAUGGCCCAUGGGGAUCGCUUUGGGGGUGGGGUUGCCAGAAUUAGGAAGGAAAAAUACAAGACACUCUCAAAUACUCAAUAAUUUUAUUUUUAGCAUACAUAUGCCCCCCAAAAUGCAUACUAAAAUUAUUAUUCUUAUUAUUUUCUGAACUUCAAAUUUAAUUGGAAAUCCUAUAAUUUAUCUGGCAUCUCUGCUUUACAACCUCAUUCUGGACCCAGAUUAAUGGUGCCUCUACUAUCUAAACAUCACAGAAAGAAAGGGGAUGUGGCCAUUUACACACUGGCUCUCAAAGUUUUCUUUUGGAAUACACAAACAUUUCCAAUGACAUUAUUAUUAUUAUUAUUAUUAUUAUUAUUAGUCAAAGUGAGUCACUUUGUCCUUCCCAACCUCAAAGGGGUGAGGAAGUGCAAUCCUGUUAUGUGCACAGAAUGAGAAAACUCCAGGCUAUUUGUGAAAAGUUCAAAUCCCUGCCCUAGUUACGUAUUCUGGUAAGAGUUACUAAGAAAAUACUACAUUCUCCGUCUCAUUAUGAUAAAUUAUAUCAACUGUAAUAUUUAUCCUUGUGAUUUCUAUCUAAUGGCUUCCUAUUGAUUUCUAGUAAGCAGAGAAAGCUUUUCUUACCCAUUUACAUAUGGGGAGAUAACUAAAUGCUCCCUGUCAACUUUUCUUCUCUGCAUUAAACACCUUCCCAUGCACCCCCUCCCCUACUUUCUUCCUAUGAUGUAACUUCCAACCCUUUACCAUCUGGUCACUAUCUACUUGGUUAUAUCUGACUGUUAUGUGAAUGUGAUGGGAAAAAAAAUAGAAAAGGGGGUUUCUUUUAGGGAUAAGUCAAAGAUGACUGUUUGUGUAACCCUUUAUUUUUGUUCACUGGCACCACCUACAAAAGAUCAGCAGUUUUUCAACUCUCAGCAACAACAGAAUCACCUGCGGAAACAAAGUGGUGAGGUCCAGGCUUCUCCACCAGCGACUCUGAUUCAACUGGCCUUGCCUGGGCCUGGGUAUCUGUACUUUUUUGCAGUUUUGUUAUCUAUAGCUACAUAACAAACCAACCCCAAACUGAGGAGCUUAAAGCAAAAGUAGUCAUUUUACUAUUAUCUUUCCUGGUCCUGGAGGCCGACCAGAAUCAAAUAUAUAAGAAACCAAUUACAUUUUAAGAGAAUUUUAUAGGCAAACAAAAGCCACCAGCUUGGAGUAAAAGAGACUGCACCCAUUUGGUAUUUAAAGCAAACUUUGGCUCCCCCAAUAUUUUAUAGGUAGGGGGAGGCUGAGGGCUCUUCUUAGCACCCAAGGAGACCAUAUUCCUUUUUAGAUUAGGCAAAGGAGGAUUGUGAAAAAGUGGACCUCUCAGUGGGCAGAACCAAGGACCACGGAGAAGAGUGGACUGGGGAGUUUCUGUUGGGGAAAAGAAUCGGGGUGCUAAAUGUGCCCCACCCUUAGGACAAGGGGCUGCUCACCAUACCUGCCCAGUGGGACUUCAGACUUACUGGGCGGGGGGGGGGGGGUCAGUGACUGGUAAAUGACUUCCCAUGCAUCCACUUCCCAAUGGGAGUGUUUAUUGUGUCCCUGUCCCUAACUGCAUAUUGAGUUUGUGUGUGGGAGGAAGUGACUUAAUUUUUCAGGUGUCCCCAUCUAAAGGAGGCGGGCACAUCCAAACCUUCUAUAGCGGUGCUUGUGCCUUAUGCACCAGUCCUGGACUUUGAGCUCAGAGCAGCACCUGCAGGGGAAUUGGGGGUUGUCUCCCUUGGGGAGGGAUAAGUGUCCUCUUAGAUGGGCAGGGGAGGGAAAUGCGUGUUUGGUGUGCAGAGUACAGACUCUGGUGGAUUAUGUUAAUAUUUACCAAAUAUUGUGGCACCUUUCUCUGCAGGGCCUCUCCCUGCGGUGGGAGGGCUCUACAUCCUGGUCCUUUUGUGUUCAGUGUUACAUUUGACUUGCUUUGACCAAUGACAUGUGAGUGUCAGAGGUGACAGGAGCCACUUUUGAGCAGAAGGGUUAAGAAUCAUGGUGUUCACCUUUCCCUCUGCUAUGACACCUGACAAUGUUCCAGAUAGAAGCUGCUUUCCCAUUCACUGUGCUGGAAUAAAGAUGGCACAGAACAAAGCCACAGCCAGCCCAUAAUGAAUGCAGCAUAUGAAAAAUUAAACUUAUGUUGUAAGACCCUGGAUGAUAAUAUUAAUGGAGAGGGCUUGGGCACCCUGACAGCCCUGAGGAGCCUUGGGUCCCUCUUGCAUGGUGGCUACCAGCAGCAAAGCCUUUCAACCGCCCAAUUUUCUUGUCCUCUCUGAGGAAGACUCAUUCCCUUCACAUUGAUGCCUGCCAUCAACAGUAGGUGAUAGAGAGCCUCCUGGAGAGUGCCAGUCUCCAGAGAGCCUCCUGUUGACAGUUUUCAUCUCUGUAGAGCAGAGAAUGUGGGAAGAUCUUUGGUAUUCUAGGUUCUGGGCUAAUGAAAGCUUGCUGGACAUAGUCAGGUAUUUCAAGAUGGUGGCCAUUCAGAGGGUCCUUUGGUCCUUACUUGCUGGGGUUUUCUGUUGCCCUGGUAACAUCUCAGUCUUGGCUUUCUCAUUACAUGAUGAAGACAUUGGUGGUAACAAUGGAAAGGAUGAGAAGAUGAAAGAGGUCAUACCAUACCUGGUUCUAUGCAGCAGAACUGAGGCACAAGUAUUGAGCACUGUGAUUUGCCUUUGUGCAGCCCUUUGUGUUGUGAGAUGACCAGAUGACAUAUUCGUAUAUUGAUGAUUUUGAAUGUGUGCAUGGCUGAGAAGAUCAUACCAAUUAAUUUUCAUGCAGAAGUCAAGCAUGCCUUGCACAGGGCUCAUCCAUAGCCAAUCAGCCGUUGACUGUUAAUAGCCACCUGGAGUGCUGUGCUGAGGAUCAGAUCUUCUCAUGGCUGGCCCUGUCUCAUUGGUCAAGUUUCUCCCAAAUGGUGACUGUUACAGAGAGGACAUUAACCACCCUAGCUAGAGUGACAUCCCUCCCCCACACUCUAGGCCAUACUCUAGCUCCUUUCCUUGCUUAACUGUCUUUCUAGCACCUCUCAUUAUCUGAAAUGAUCUUUCUUUCCUGUGUGUUGUCUCUUCUUCCAGAAUGUGAGCUCCAAGAGGACAAGGACUUUGUCUCUCUUAUCCACUACGAUGUCUCUGUGCUUAUUAGAGAGCUGACAUGUAGGAAAAAACUCAAUAAAUAAAU